rnacentral:misc_RNA from 1 species
CAAUAUCCAAAAACUUGGGAUAUUGGGGAUAAUAAUCAGGUGCUGCAAAUCCUUCUAAGCGGACCCGUUUAUAAACAAUAGACAUCAAAUUACAAACACCUUCAGGCUGGUCAAGGUUGUACUGUGAGAUCAUUCCGCAUACAGCAAUGCGGCCAUGGACUCUCAUGUUGAGAAGAACAGCAUCAAGCAUUUUCCCACCAACAUUUUCAAAAUAGAUGUCUAUGCCUUCAGGGAAGCAUCUUUUCAAAGCAGCAUCCAAGUUGUGCUCC